rnacentral:lncRNA from 1 species
AAAUUAAACGAGUAGUAGUAUAAGUUUUGUCGGACACGUUAGAACAAUUUUUCCAUAAAUUAAUCGAUAUUCUUUUUGAGAGUUUUAAUUCUUGUCACGCAUUUGCGAAAGCUGCAAGAGAUAUUAUUUCACAUCAUAUUUGAAAUGAAUCCCCAAUUUUUGUGGAGGAUCAUCUCCAUAUUCCAUGUUCUUAUAAGUAAUAAAGUUAUCUCUCUUUCCCCUAAAAAAAAAAAAAAAAAUCUUAACACGCACUAACGGCAGCUGAACUUUGGGUUUUAAUCAAAGUUGCCGUUCCAGCUAACGUACAAAUAAAUUUAUAAUACCUUACCCAAAACAGGCGUAGUGCCAGUGAUAAGCAAGAGUCGAUCUCACAGGGAGUUGGUGUAGUUGCGUCUCGUCUUGGUCACGAGAGACUUU